UACGGGGGGGCAAGCGUUGUUCGGAAUUACUGGGCGUAAAGGGCUCGUAGGCGGCCAACUAAGUCAGACGUGAAAUCCCUCGGCUUAACCGGGGAACUGCGUCUGAUACUGGAUGGCUUGAAUCCGGGAGAGGGAUGCGGAAUUCCAGGUGUAGCGGUGAAAUGCGUAGAUAUCGCUUGGAACGCCAACGGUGAAAACAGCUCGCUGGGGGUGUGCUGACGCU
rnacentral:rRNA from 1 species